GAUGAACGCUGGCGGCGUGCCUAACACAUGCAAGUCGAGCGACCAGACGAGGAGCUUGCUCCUCUGACGUUGGCGGCGGACGGGUGAGUAACACGUGGAUAACCUAUCUAUAAGACUGGGACAACUUCGGGAAACCGGAUCCCAUACCGGAUCAUAUGUUGAAACGCAUGGUUCAAUAGACAAAGCCCGUUUUGCUGGCACGUAUAGAUGGAACCAAGCCGGAUUAGCUAGUUGGUAAGGUAACGGCUUACCAAGGCUACGAUGCGUAGCCGACCUGAGAGGAUGAUCAGCCACACUGGAACUGAGACACGGUCCAGACUCCUACGGGAGGCAGCAGUAGGGAAUCUUGCACAAUGGGCGAAAGCCUGACGGAGCAACGCCGCGUGAAGGAUGAAGGUCUUCGGAUCGUAAAACUCUGUUAUUAGGAACGAACAGAUGUGUACGUAACUAUAAGCGUCUUGACGGUACCUAAUCAGUAAGCACCGGCUAACUACGUG
rnacentral:rRNA from 1 species